AGGAUAAUAGUUCAAAAAGAACAUUUAACUUGCAUUUAAAAGGUAUAGCAACCCUAUUUAUCUUA
rnacentral:tRNA from 1 species